UACGUAGGGUGCGAGCGUUGUCCGGAAUUAUUGGGCGUAAAGAGCUUGUAGGCGGUUUGUCGCGUCUGCUGUGAAAAUCCGGGGCUCAACCCCGGACUUGCAGUGGGUACGGGCAGACUAGAGUGUGUUAGGGGAGACUGGAAUUCCUGGUGUAGCGGUGAAAUGCGCAGAUAUCAGGAGGAACACCGAUGGCGAAGGCAGGUCUCUGGGCCACUACUGACGCUGAGAAGCGAAAGCAUGGGGAGCGAACAGG
rnacentral:rRNA from 1 species